rnacentral:rRNA from 1 species
UACGUAGGGGGCAAGCGUUGUCCGGAUUUAUUGGGCGUAAAGAGCGUGUAGGCGGCCAGGUAGGUCUGCUGUGAAAACUCGAGGCUCAACCUCGAGACGCCGAUGAAACCCCCUAACUAGAGUCCGGAAGAGGAGAGUGGAAUUCCUGGUGUAGAGGUGAAAUUCGUAGAUAUCAGGAGGAACACCGGUGGCGAAGGCGGCCAUCUGGACGACAACUGACGCUGAGGCGCGAAAGC